UAGGGAAUAUUGGACAAUGGGGGCAACCCUGAUCCAGCCAUGCCGCGUGAGUGAUGAAGGCCUUAGGGUUGUAAAGCUCUUUAGACGGGGACGAUUAUGACGGUACCCGUAGAAUAAGCACCGGCUAACUUCGUGCCAGCAGCCGCGGUAAUACGAAGGGUGCUAGCGUUGUUCGGAAUCACUGGGCGUAAAGCGCGCGUAGGCGGCCAAUCAAGUCAGGGGUGAAAUGCCACGGCUCAACCGUGGAACUGCCUUUGAAACUGAUUGGCUGGAAGAUGAGAGGGGAUAGCGGAAUUUCUGGUGUAGAGGUGAAAUUCGUAGAUACCAGAAGGAACACCGGUGGCGAAGGCGGCUAUCUGGCUCAUUCUUGACGCUCUGGCGCGAAAGCGUGGGGAUCAAACAG
rnacentral:rRNA from 1 species